rnacentral:rRNA from 1 species
GACGAACCGUGCGAACGUUAUUCGGAAUCACUGGGCUUAAAGCGCGUGUAGGCGGAUGGGAACGUCGGUCGUUGAAAGCCCCCGGCUCAACCGGGGAAGUGGUGCCGAAACGACCCGUCUGGAGGGACGUAGGGGGACCUGGAACUUCCGGUGGAGCGGUGAAAUGCGUAGAUAUCUGGAGGAACACCGGUGGCGAAGGCGGCAUCCUGGACCGAGAUUGACGCUGAUGCGCGAAAGCCAGGGGAGCAAACGGG